rnacentral:rRNA from 1 species
GGGGGCCCGCACAAGCGGUGGAGCAUGUGGUUUAAUUCGACGCAACGCGCAGAACCUUACCAGCCCUUGACAUGUCCAGGACCGGUCGCAGAGACGUGACCUUCUCUUCGGAGCCUGGAACACAGGUGCUGCAUGGCUGUCGUCAGCUCGUGUCGUGAGAUGUUGGGUUAAGUCCCGCAACGAGCGCAACCCCCGUCCUUAGUUGCUACCAUUUAGUUGAGCACUCUAAGGAGACUGCCGGUGAUAAGCCGCGAGGAAGGUGGGGAUGACGUCAAGUCCUCAUGGCCCUUACGGGCUGGGCUACACACGUGCUACAAUGGCGGUGACAGUGGGAUGCGAAGACGCAAGUCCUAGCAAAUCUCAAAAAGCCGUCUCAGUUCGGAUUGGGCUCUGCAACUCGAGCCCAUGAAGUUGGAAUCGCUAGUAAUCGUGGAUCAGCACGCCACGGUGAAUACGUUCCCGGGCCUUGUACACACCGCCCGUCACACCAUGGGAGUUGGCUUUACCUGAAGACGGUGCGCUAACCAGCAAUGGAGGCAGCCGGCCACGGUAGGGUCAGCGACUGGGGUGAAGUCGUAACAAGGUAGCCGUGGGG